AUCUGUUCCGAGGGGGGCCCCGUGAGGGGGCUGAGAUUCCGCCGGCUCGCCAUGAGCACCGCGGUGACCCUUAGGACCUGAUCCGGGUCAUGCCGGCGAAGGGACGGAAAAAGGUGCAAAG
rnacentral:ncRNA from 1 species